CGUUUGCCGGGCGAAGCCUGACCGCAAUGCCGCGUGCAGGAAGAAGGCCUUCGGGUUGUAAACUGCUUUUGUACGGAACGAAACGGUCUGCCCUAAUACGGCGGGCUAAUGACGGUACCGUAAGAAUAAGCACCGGCUAACUACGUGCCAGCAGCCGCGGUAAUACGUAGGGUGCGAGCGUUAAUCGGAAUUACUGGGCGUAAAGCGUGCGCAGGCGGUUAUGUAAGACAGUUGUGAAAUCCCCGGGCUCAACCUGGGAAUUGCAUCUGUGACUGCAUAGCUAGAGUACGGUAGAGGGGGAUGGAAUUCCGCGUGUAGCAGUGAAAUGGGGGGAUAUGCGGAGGAACACCGAUGGCGAAGGCAAUCCCCUGGACCUGUACUGACGCUCAUGCACGAAAG
rnacentral:rRNA from 1 species